rnacentral:rRNA from 1 species
AGUGAACGCUGGCGGUAGGCCUAACACAUGCAAGUCGAACGGCAGCACAGUAAGAGCUUGCUCUUACGGGUGGCGAGUGGCGGACGGGUGAGGAAUACAUCGGAAUCUACUUUUUCGUGGGGGAUAACGUAGGGAAACUUACGCUAAUACAGCAUACGACCUACGGGUGAAAGCAGGGGAUCUUCGGACCUUGCGCGAUUGAAUGAGCCGAUGUCGGAUUAGCUAGUUGGCGGGGUAAAGGCCCACCAAGGCGACGAUACGUAGCUGGUCUGAGAGGAUGAUCGGCCACACUGGAACUGAGACACGGUCCAGACUCCUACGGGAGGCAGCAGUGGGGAAUAUUGGACAAUGGGCGCAAGCCUGAUCCAGCCAUACCGCGUGGGUGAAGAAGGCCUUCGGGUUGUAAAGCCCUUUUGUUGGGAAAGAAAAGCAGCAGGUUAAUACCCCGCUGUUCUGACGGUACCCAAAGAAUAAGCACCGGCUAACUUCGUG